rnacentral:rRNA from 1 species
AGUGAACGCUGGCGGUAGGCCUAACACAUGCAAGUCGAACGGCAGCACAGGAGAGCUUGCUCUCUGGGUGGCGAGUGGCGGACGGGUGAGGAAUACAUCGGAAUCUACUCUGUCGUGGGGGAUAACGUAGGGAAACUUACGCUAAUACCGCAUACGACCUACGGGUGAAAGCAGGGGACCUUCGGGCCUUGCGCGAUUGAAUGAGCCGAUGUCGGAUUAGCUAGUUGGCGGGGUAAAGGCCCACCAAGGCGACGAUCCGUAGCUGGUCUGAGAGGAUGAUCGGCAACACUGGAACUGAGACACGGUCCAGACUCCUACCCGAGGCAGCAGUGGGGAAUAUUGGACAAUGGGCGCAAGCCUGAGCCAGGCAUACCGCGUGGGUGAAGGAGGCCUUCGGGUUGUAAAGCCCUUUUGUUGGGAAAGAAAUCCAGCUGGCUAAUACCCGGUUGGGAUGACGGUACCCAAAGAAUAAGCACCGGCUAACUUCGUGCCAGCCGCCGCGGUAA